UCAUGAAUGUAUAUAUAAUUUCACUAAUCCCUUGAAAGAAACUACAAAAUUUAAAAUAGAACUAAAAUGAUCAACUGUAAAUAGAUGAAAGCAAGUAGAAACAAACAGGACAAAGGUGGCAGCAUAGGAACGUUUGUAAACAGUAUAGUCUUAAUCAGGAGGACACGGAUUAGGUAUUAGUGGACUAUGUGGUAAUGAACACUCCCACGUGCCCACAUACACACGCGUACACACACUUGCAGAACUGAGGCAGGAAAAUAGGGUCUGGAGGCAGGGAACAUAAGGCUGAUUUACACUUCAGCUAUGACAGGAAAUAUCCUCUCCAUAGGGCAGACACCGAGUAAAUGACUGUAACUUUACUUUGUCCUCUCCAUUUACAGCGGGCAUACUCGAAGCAACCAAUGAAAUCCUUUAGGGGGUAUUUUAAACUCCUAAAAAUUCCUUAAUAGGGCCUUUGAGCUCCUAUGCUUGGGCCCUCUCCCACACUGUGGAGUGUACUUUCACUUUCAAUAAAUUCCUUUGUCCCUUCCUUGCUUUGUGCGUUUUGUCCAAUUCUUUGUUCAAGACACCAAGAACCUCGACACGAACCACCUUUAACAUAGUUUGGUGAACCAGCCUGGAGGCAGAGUCAAGCAUGAUCCCUAAGGCUGCUCAGGGAGAGAGAACCUAGAAACCUGGCAUGCUGGCAAAAGGAGACCAUCAAGCUUCAGAUGAUCAUGCAACAAAAGUCCCAGCUAGUUCCAGGUGAAGACAACACACCUGGCCUUCAAAAAGCUACUCUGCCUCCACUAGAGAGAACAGGGCGAGAGUUCCAUGAUCCCCAGUAGGGCAUACCAGAAAUAACCAGUGGAAUCCUCUAGGGGGUAUUUAAACUCCCAAAAAUUCUGUAACGUGGCCUUGGAGCUCCUAUGCUCAGGUCCGCUCACACACUGUGGAGUGUACUUUCAUUUUCAAUAAAUUCCUUU
rnacentral:lncRNA from 10 species